CCUACGGGAGGCUGCAGUAGGGAAUCUUCCACAAUGGGCGAAAGCCUGAUGGAGCAACGCCGCGUGGGUGAAGAAGGUCUUCGGAUUGUAAAACUCUGUUGUUAGAGAAGAAAGUGCGUGAGAGUAACUGUUCACGUUUCGACGGUAUCUAACCAGAAAGCCACGGCUAACUACGUGCCAGCAGCCGCGGUAAUACGUAGGUGGCAAGCGUUAUCCGGAUUUAUUGGGCGUAAAGGGAACGCAGGCGGUCUUUUAAGUCUGAUGUGAAAGCCUUCGGCUUAACCGGAGUAGUGCAUUGGAAACUGGGAGACUUGAGUGCAGAAGAGGAGAGUGGAACUCCAUGUGUAGCGGUGAAAUGCGUAGAUAUAUGGAAGAACACCAGUGGCGAAGGCGGCUCUCUGGUCGGUAACUGACGCUGAGGUUCGAAAGCGUGGGUAGCAAACAGGAUUAGAUACCCCAGUAGUC
rnacentral:rRNA from 1 species